rnacentral:rRNA from 1 species
CAGUAGCCGCGGUAAUACGGAGGGUGCAAGCGUUAAUCGGAAUUACUGUGCGUAAAUCGCACGCAGGCGGUCUGUCAAGUCGGAUGUGAAAUCCCCGGGCUCAACCUGGGAACUGCAUUCGAAACUGGCAGGCUAGAGUCUUGUAGAGGGGGGUAGAAUUCCAGGUGUAGCGGUGAAAUGCGUAGAGAUCUGGAGGAAUACCGGUGGCGAAGGCGGCCCCCUGGGCCUGUACUGACGCGCAUGCACGAAAGCGUGGGGAGCAAACAGGAUUAGAUACCCGGGUAGUCCCUGUCUCUUAUAC